UACACACCGCCCGUCACAGCAUGAGAGUUCUUUGUACCCAAAGCCGCCUUAGCUAACCUGUAAAGGAGGCGGGCGUUUAAGGUAUGGGGAGCGAUUGGGCUG
rnacentral:rRNA from 1 species